rnacentral:rRNA from 1 species
UACGAAGGGGGCUAGCGUUGUUCGGAAUUCCUGGGCGUAAAGCGCGUGUAGGCGGGUCUUUAAGUCAGGGGUGAAAUGCCAAGGCUCAACCUUGGAACUGCCUUUGAUACUGGAGACCUUGAGUCCGGGAGAGGUGAGUGGAAUUGCGAGUGUAGAGGUGAAAUUCGUAGAUAUUCGCAAGAACACCAGUGGCGAAGGCGGCUCACUGGCCCGAUACUGACGCUGAGGCACGAAAGCGUGGGGAGCAAACAGG